CAGACCAAAAGCUUUUAAAACCUGCUAUAGUUCACAAUUUCAUAACCGAGAAUCAUAAACCAUUAUUUCAUAAAGUAAAUUCCACAGUUCGCUAGGCCACUAAUACCCGGUGGCACGGUAUCAUAGGUUCAUAGGUGUCAAUAAUGCGCCCCUUACUAAGGUAUCAUAAAUUGUGCCAAGCACGCCCUAGUAAGGUAUCAUAAUCUAGUUCCGGAACUAUACGCAAUUACUAACAGGUUCAUAAUUCAUAGCUAGCUGGGAAUUCCUUAUAUCUAAAAUAUUUUCUCAAUUCCAAACUUUCAUAACAAAGCAGUAUAAAACAUUUGAAACAAUUCUGAAAGUGCGAAAAGUAAUCUUACCUUAGCAAAACAGCCAAGCACGCCCUAGUAAGGUAUCAUAAUCUAGUUCCGGAACUAUACGCAAUUACUAACAGGUUCAUAAUUCAUAGCUAGCUGGGAAUUCCUUAUAUCUAAAAU
rnacentral:lncRNA from 1 species